AUGUCCUCGUCGGGGCCGCCGAACCCCAUCGCGCCCGCGCACGCCACUGUCCUCACCGGCACCCCCAUGUCGGUGCAGCCGCAGCCCAAGCCGCCCCCGCCGCCGCAGCAGCCGUCCGGCUCCGCCGCGCCGCCGCCGUCCCAGCAGACGCAGACGCAGCACCAACAGCAGCAGCAGCAGCAGGGCCCUCCGCCCGCUUCGCUCCAGCAGCGGCCCAGGAUCUGCUUCAACGCGCACUGCAAGGACCCCAAAUCCGAGGGCCCGCGCCGCCGCGGCUGGCGCCUCCGCUCCGGCGACUACGCCGAGCUCUGCGACCGAUGCUAUGGUUCGUUCGAGCAUGGGACCUUCUGCGAGACCUUCCACUCGGAGGUGGCCGGAUGGAGGAAAUGCGAAGCGUGCGGGAAGAGGCUACAUUGUGGGUGCAUCGUCUCAGUCCAUGCGUAUGCGCUGCUCGACGCCGGCGGAGUUGACUGCAUCCUAUGUGCUCGCAAGUCCUAUGCGGCAAUGGCACCAAGUCAGAUGUGGUCAACUCCUACUGUGCAUAUGCCUCAAAAUGUUGCUGACAGAAAAGACAGUUAUGUAAAGAGUUGGAGACCUCCUACGGGCCAGAUUUCAAGUCAGUGGCGACAGAAUCACCAGCUGUGGAACAUGUCCACUAUACAAUCGGACUUGCAGCAACGUCUAGCUUAUGAGUUUGAUAGGCCAAGUGGCAGUGAAAAAUUACCUCCAGGGCGCACUUUUAUUCAUGCCCAGGAAAAGAAAUCUGAUGACAUGCAUGACAGACCAACAACACCUGCCGGCAUGGGCCAGAUUAUAAGGGACAGAUAUGCCAAUGGGCUCGGACAGCAGACAAGCAUGGAUCCGACACACUCCUCUACGCCCUACCAGAGAGAAGGACCAAAUCCAAAUAGCCUUCAUGAUCCUAGUCACCAUGUAGGAGAAAGCGAUCCUUUGUCUUCAAGGAAAGGGAUAAUUUCAGAUGGUGGUUCUACUGUAUCUACUGGCUUUAAGCUUGAUUCACAUCAUCCAUCCAUUCUAAAGGAUGAUGCGGCGUCAACCCUGCCGACAAUGGGUGGCUACACUAUCACUAAUUAUCCACCGGUACCUGGACGAAGCGACCAUCUCAGAAUCAUACCUAAUAAUCCGCAACAACCACCCACCACGGUGCCCCUCUCAGUAGUGCAAAAACAGUUCUAUUCCCAUAGUGUCAUUGAGCCCAACUACCAAGCGCAAUUCCGUAAUGGAAAGCCCAGAAUGGAUCCAAAGGCGAGAUCAGAAUUACUUCCCCGCUACUGGCCUAGAAUAACAGAUAAAGAGCUACAGCACUUAUCGGGAGAGUAUCCAAAAAACUCUACUUCGAAUUCUGUUAUUACUCCUUUGUUCGAGAAAAUGUUAAGUGCCAGUGAUGCUGGUCGAAUUGGUCGUUUGGUGUUGCCAAAGAAAUGUGCUGAGGCAUACUUCCCUCCAAUCUCUCAGCCAGAAGGACUUCCCUUAAAAGUUCAGGAUGCCAGUGGUAAGGAAUGGGUGUUCCAGUUCCGUUUCUGGCCCAAUAAUAACAGCAGGAUGUAUGUAUUGGAGGGUGUCACACCCUGCAUUCAGUCGAUGCACUUACAAGCGGGCGAUACAGUAAGUUUCAGCCGAAUAGAUCCAGAAGGGAAGCUGGUUAUGGGAUUCAGAAAGACAAAGACUCAAGAACAGAUAUUCCGUCAGGAAGAACCAACAAAGCCUGCAAAUGCUGCACCAAAUCUUCCAGAUGUGAAUGUUAAUGUCAGUGCUCCAGAUUCUAGUCCGAACUCUUCGUUAGCGCGACCAAAUAAAGUCAACACAGAGAACAAAGACUCUAGCCCUGUGGAACAAGCUGCCUCUAAAAUAGACAAAGGUGGAGUAGCACAGAAAGAAGGGCCGGGAACUGUUCGCACAUCCCCCGGACCUGUGAAGAGAAAAGCAACUUCUAUCGGUCCAAAGAUUAAACGGUUCCGGAUCGAUAACGAGGAAUCCAUGGAAUUAAAGAUAACAUGGGAGGAGGCUCAAGAAUUGCUUCGCCCUCCCCUGAAGGCCCCUUCGGUUGUUAUUGUUGAUGGCCAUGAGUUUGAGGAAUAUGAGGAGCCACCAGUACUUGGGAGGAAGACAUAUUUUGUGACUGACCAAUCAGGUGAGAAUCAUCAGUGGGCUCAGUGUGAGGAUUGUUCCAAAUGGCGGAAACUGCCAGUAGACGCCCUUUUACCCUCUAAGUGGACCUGUUCCGACAAUAAAUGGGAUCCUGAAAGGACGACUUGUGUCUCUCCACAAGAGGCAAGCAUGGAGGAACUUGCAGAACUGAUUCCUAUAAAAGCAGGUGCUGCAAAAAAGGCUAAACUUAGGAUGGAUACUGACAGUAUCGAUGUUUCGGAUGGGUUGGACACUCUGGCAAACCUUGCUAUUCUUGGUGAGGGUGAAUCUCUUCCUUCCCAGCCAACUACAAAGCAUCCCCGACAUCGCCCUGGCUGCUCGUGCAUUGUCUGCAUUCAGCCUCCUAGUGGGAAGGGACCAAAGCACAAGCAGACAUGCACCUGCAAUGUAUGUAUGACGGUGCGCCGUCGUUUUAGGACACUGAUGCUUCGGCGUGAGAAGCGUGCGUCUGAGAAAGAAUCGGAGGAGCCGCCUCGAAAGAAAGAGCAAGGCCAGUCGAGCGAGUCUCCACAAGACCCGCUGCCGGCUAGCACCAGUCCUACUAGCACUCCCCAGAAGGUGAACGGAAAUGGUGAUGACGCGGAAGAAGCCGUGGAGCAUAGCAUGGCAUCCUCUCCUAUGAAGAACCAGAUUGACCUGAACAUCCAGCCUGAACGGGAAGACGAGCAGUCACCAAAAUCAGAUGCGGUCGGUGCAAUGAGACUUGCGCGAGAGAACGCAGCCUAG
rnacentral:rRNA from 1 species